CUACGGGGGGCUCCAGUGGGGAAUAUUGGACAAUGGACCAAAAGUCUGAUCCAGCAAUUCUGUGUGUUUGAUGAAGGCCUUCGGGUUGUAAAGAACUUUAAGUAGGGAAGAAGAAAGUGACGGUACCUACAGAAUAAGCGACGGCUAAAUACGUGCCGAGCAGCCGCGGUAAUACGUAUGUCGCAAGCGUUAUCCGGAAUUAUUAGGCAUAAAGCGCGUCUAGGCGGUUUACUAAGUCUGAUGUGAAAAUGCGGGGCUCAACUCCGUAUUGCGUUGGAAACUGGUAGACUAGAGUAUUGGAGAGGUAGGCGGAACUACAAGUGUAGAGGUGAAAUUCGUAGAUAUUUGUAGGAAUGCCAAUGACGAAGGUAGCUUACUGGACAAAUACUGACGCUGAAGCGCGAAAGCUAGGGGAGCAAACAGGAUUAGAUACCCCGGUAGUC
rnacentral:rRNA from 1 species